GGAUGAGAUGCUCUGUUAGGAUUCUUUCAAACACCAAACCUUAAUGGUCUUGUUCACACCCCACAUUAAGUGGCCUCCUAUGAGCAGGUAAGUCAGUGAAGGUGUGUGUGUGUCUUCAGGUGGCAGAUGUGAAGUAGAAGAAGGCAGUCACCAUUUCACACCUUUAAAAUAAUCAUGUGGCUGGGUGCGGUGGCGCUACCUGUAAUCCUAGUUGGCUUGGGAGGCAGAGGAAGGAAGAUUGAAAGUUCAAAGCCAGUCUCAGCAAUAUUGAGGCACUAAGCAACUCAAUGAGACCCUGUCUCUAAAUAAAAUACAAAAUUUUAUUUUAGAGUAGUCCUCUAAAACCACUAAUGUGGCUCAGUGGUUGAGUGCCCCUGAGUUCAAUCCUCAGUUUACCCCCGUUCCACAUAAUUAUCUCGUAGGAAAUUUCUUCCCUCUGUCACCACUUCUCACCCAGUUAGUUAGGUGAGAGGUUGCAGGAAGCCCAGAGCCUGGGACCUCCCUUGGUGCUUCAAAUCUACUUGUUCAACAUACUUCAGAUACACUUUUCUAAGUACAGGGAAGACUGCAGGACAGAGCUCCUGCUCUUGGGGGGCUCCCACCCUGUGGGGACAGUCAGCAAGAGGAACAAUUCAGCCACACAGUGCACAGAAGUCAGUGGGUGCCCUGGGGAGAAAGGAACCCUGGAGAGGGAGAGAGGGGUGUUGGGUGAGGACUACUCUAAAUAGCAUGGCUGGUUUGGCCUUUGGUGAAGUUGAUAUUUGCACCAAGACCUCAAGCAAAGCAAGUGGAGGGAAUGGCCAAGGCCAAGGCUCUGAGGAGUUUGCCUGGGCAGUAGCUGACCUUGGCAGAGAGGAGGCUCCCGAGCUGGGGAGAGUGGGAGCUACAGCCUCCUAGGAGAAACCAACAUGAGUCACAGAAUCACCAAAGUCAAGCAUGGCAGUGGGCAGAUCUGGAUAGGAGCUUCCUGGGGCAAGGACAGUUUGAGGGAGGUGAAGCUUAGAGAACAAGUUGACCGGAAGAGCACAUUCACUGAGGAGUGGUUGGUGAGGAUGAGGUGCCAGGCACCUGCUCUGUCCCACCCUGGGAUGUCAUUGCAGCCCUACUUGAGCCUGAGAGCAGGUGGGAUUACUCCUGGCGGGAGGUUUGCCAGGUGGAGGUAACUAAGCAGCAAAAGGGCACAGGGGCUUGGGGUGUGGGGUUCACCAGGUUGUCUUGACCUGGUCUGCGUGCACACGGGGACUGGUGUUUGUGCACUUGCUCUGGAGCAACCACGCAGGCAGGGCACCUCUGAGCUGCUGGAGCACACCAGGCUGGUGGAGCACUGCUGGGACGCAUGUGUGGCACAGCAGGUGCUGCCAGCCCCUCCUGCCAAGCCCUGCCUGGGCCUUUCUUGUUCCCUGGCAUUUCUCCCAGAAUCAGAACAGUGUUUGGCUCAUAGUAAUGGUUUACUACAUCUGCGUUGAGUGACUGGAGUAUAGGAUGAUGGCCGAUACAAGACUGGGAUCCAGGAUUGCCUGUUGAGGUAUAGAAUGAAGUUCCAGGUGCCAGCCUACUGAGGUAUGAAUCCUGGCCCCAUCAUUUACAAGUUGUGUGAAAAUGGGCAAAUUGCUGAUCUUCCCCAAGUCUCAGUUUCCUAAUCUGUAAAUUGGGGGCAAUAAUGGUCCCUACCUCAAAUGGUUGCUAUUAAGAUUCACAGAGUGUCAAAGCUCUUCUACUCUGCUGUUAAAAUGGCUUCUGCCACUUUCAUCUGCACUGAUCCUCAUAGUAGCCACACACCAGAAAAGGACACAGGUGAGUGUGGUGGCCAAGCCUAUGACCCCAGAGACUCAGGAGGCUUAGCCAGGAGGAUCACAAGUUCAAGGCCAGCCUGCAUAAGUCAGCAAGACCUUAUCUCAAAAAUAAAAUAAAAAGGACUUUGGGGCUGGGGCUGGGGCUCAGUGGCAGAGCACUUGCUUAGCAUGUGUGAGGCACUGGGUUCGAUUCUCAGCACUAAUAAAAAUAAAUAUAUAAAAUAAAGGUGUUGUGUGCAUCUACAACUAAGUAUAUUUUUUUUUUUUUUUUUUUUUUUAGAAAGAGAGAGAGAGAGACAGAGAGAGAGAGAGAGAGAAUUUUAAUAUUUAUUUUUCGGCGGACACAACAUCUUCGUUUGUAUGUGGUGCUGAGGAUCGAACCCGGGCCGCACGCACGCCAGGCGAGCGCGCUACCGCUUGAGCCACAUCCCCAGCCCCUAAGUAUAUUUUUUUUAAAAAAGGAGUGGGGAUGUAGCUUCUUGCAGCCCUACUCUGUAGCCUGAGAGCAGGUGGGAUUACUCCUGGAGGGAGGUUUUCCAGGUGGAGGUAACUAAGC
rnacentral:lncRNA from 1 species